UACGAAUGGGGCAAGCGUUGUUCGGAAUCACUGGGCUUAAAGCGUGCGCAGGCGGUCAUGAAAGUCAGAAGUGAAAUCCCAGGGCUUAACCCUGGAAUUGCUUUUGAAACUCCAUGACUAGAAUACUGGAGAGGUUAGCAGAAUUCCGAGUGUAGAGGUGAAAUUCGCAGAUAUUCGGAGGAAUACCAAUGGCGAAGGCAGCUAACUGGACAGUCAUUGACGCUCAGGCACGAAAGCGUGGGUAGCAAAC
rnacentral:rRNA from 1 species